UGGGACAACCCAUUCUAAAAAAUACCCUACCCAAUCCUAUCCAUUCUUACAUAUAAAAAAAUGUAAGGGUUUCCUAAAUCUAUCUUCCAAUUUUUCUGCCGGUAAUCCUCCUAUUCUAGCUAAGAAAUGUUGGUUUUCUAUGUAUGGAAUUUGGAGUUCUUCAUCUUAAUACUAUGGGUUAUCAAUCAACCGCCAUGGAAUGUAGCUGGUUAUGUGCUUAUCAGCUCUCAAAAGUUGGUGGUUCCUCCCUUUUUGAUUUAUCUGCUUACUCAUCUUCUCCAUUAAAGCUUUAUUUUGUUGUUUCCAGGUGUGUUCUCCGGUAGAUGGGAUAAAGCUCCUCUUUUUGUGCUGUGUU
rnacentral:lncRNA from 1 species